rnacentral:hammerhead_ribozyme from 1 species
AUCCAGCUGAAGAGUUCAAAGCAGGACAAAACAAAUGUCCUAGAU